rnacentral:tRNA from 1 species
UGGGUUGUGGCUCAGAGGUAGAGUGCUUGCCUGGCAUGCAUGAGGCACUGGGUUUGAUCCUCAGCACCACAU